rnacentral:rRNA from 1 species
UGGGGAAUAUUGCACAAUGGGCGCAAGCCUGAUGCAGCCAUGCCGCGUGUAUGAAGAAGGCCUUCGGGUUGUAAAGUACUUUCAGCGGGGAGGAAGGGAGUAAAGUUAAUACCUUUGCUCAUUGACGUUACCCGCAGAAGAAGCACCGGCUAACUCCGUGCCAGCAGCCGCGGUAAUACGGAGGGUGCAAGCGUUAAUCGGAAUUACUAGGCGUAAAGCGCACGCAGGCGGUCUGUCAAGUCGGAUGUGAAAUCCCCGGGCUCAACCUGGGAACUGCAUUCGAAACUGGCAGGCUAGAGACUUGUAGAGGGGGGUAGAAUUCCAGGUGUAGCGGUGAAAUGCGUAGAGAUCUGGAGGAAUACCGGUGGCGAAGGCGGCCCCCUGGACAAAGACUGACGCUCAGGUGCGAAAGCGUGGGGAGCAAACAGG